GGAUUGUGGCUCAGCGGUAAAGCACUCUCCUCACACAGGCGGGACCGGGGUUCGAUCCUCAGCACCA
rnacentral:tRNA from 1 species